rnacentral:rRNA from 1 species
GACGAACGCUGGCGGCGUGCCUAAUACAUGCAAGUCGAACGCAGUGGGGACGGUUUAGUAACACGUGGGUAACCUCCCAUCAGAGGGGAUAACCCUUGGAAAAAGGUGCUAAACCGAUAUUGGUGGAUGGACCCGCGGUGCAGUAGCUAGGGGGUGUGGUAACGGCUCACAAAGGCGGGGAGGCAUAGCCGACCUGAGAGGGUGAUCGGCCACCCGGGAACUGAGACACGGCCCAGACUCCUACGUGAGGCAGCAGUAGGGAAUCUUCGGCAAUGGACGAAAACCUGACCGAGCAACGCCGCGUGAGUGAAGAAGGUGUUCGGAUCGUAAAACUCUGUUGUUAGAGACGCGGUAGCUAACCAAAAAGCAACGGCUAACUACGUGCCAGCAGCCGCGGUAAUUC